UACAGAGGUGGCAAGCGUUGUUCGGAAUUACUGGGCGUAAAGGGCGCGUAGGUGGCCUUCUUAGUCAGACGUGAAAUCCCCGGGCUUAACCUGGGAACUGCAUUCCGAACUGUCAAGCUAGAGUAUGAUAGAGGGUGGUGGAAUUCCGAGUGUAGCGGUGAAAUGCGUAGAUAUUCGGAGGAACACCAGUGGCGAAGGCGACCACCUGGAUCAAUACUGACGCUGAGGUACGAAAGCGUGGGGAGCAAACAGG
rnacentral:rRNA from 1 species